rfam:Loxodonta africana unplaced genomic scaffold scaffold_41, whole genome shotgun sequence.
GCAUUGGUGGCUCAGUGGUAGAACUCCUACCUUGCACGCAGGAGACUUGGGUUUGAAUCCCAGCCAAUACA